AUCAACUUUCUGUGUGCUCUAAGCAACAGUACAGCAACGUGAGUGUCGUGUCUGAUUAGAUGAUGAUUGUGAAUCGUUAGAUCAAAAUUAAAGUUUACUUGAGACUGAGUGUUUCUUAGGACUUGCUUGUGUGUGCUUCGACUACUUUGUGAUGGUGAAGUAUUGCUUGUAAUAUGACUUCAUUGAUACCCUUGUCAUCCCCAGUAAAGCGAUUGCUCGGUUGGAAACGAGGUGAAGGUGAAGAAAAGUGGAGUGAAAAGGCAGUCAAGAGCCUUGUCAAAAAGCUUAAAAAAAGUGGUGGCCUCGAUGAACUUGAAAAAGCUGUAACUUCUCAAAGUUCCAGUACAAAGUGUAUUACUAUUCCAAGAUCGUUAGACGGCCGUCUUCAAGUAUCACAGCGUAAAGGGCUACCUCAUGUAAUUUAUUGCCGCUUGUGGAGGUGGCCAGAUCUUCAGACACACCACGAAUUGCACGCACUUGAAAACUGCGAGUACGCUUUCCAGCUCAAACGUGACGAAGUUUGUGUUAAUCCCUACCACUACCAAAGAGUUGAAACGCCAGUUUUACCGCCAAUCUUGGUUCCACGCCAAGCAGAAACUGGAGUAAACAGCGUCAACCUUUCAACAACAGGAGCCAAUAAUAAUCAUCAAAUCGUUAAUAGCACGGUUGCCACUAUUCAAGACCUGCUGUCACUGGAUGACCUGCCGCUGUCGAUAGCCGACGGUCCUGACUUCAUUAUGUCAACCGCCGGAGUGAACUCACCUAGUCCUGCAUCUAUUGGUAGUGGCGAUGGUGGUGGUGGAACUUUUCCCUUAACAGAAACUCCUCCGCCUGGUUACAUGUCGGAAGACGGCGACACUCAAGAGCCCGCAGAUAUGAUGAAUGGUAGUCGAGUUUCACCUAGCCCUCCUAUCGAUGCACAACCCGUUAUGUACUGCGAGCCGGCAUUCUGGUGUUCGAUAAGCUAUUAUGAGUUAAACACACGCGUGGGAGAAACUUUCCAUGCAUCUCAGCCAUCCAUUACCGUUGACGGUUUUACUGAUCCCAGUAAUUCGGAACGAUUUUGCCUGGGACUUUUAUCAAACGUAAACCGCAACCCUGUAGUGGAACAAACCCGACGACACAUUGGGAAAGGAGUCCGUCUCUAUUACAUUGGAGGCGAGGUCUUUGCCGAGUGUUUGAGCGAUUCGUCCAUUUUUGUUCAAUCCCCAAACUGCAAUCAGCGUUACGGUUGGCAUCCGGCAACCGUUUGUAAAAUCCCACCUGGAUGCAACUUAAAAAUAUUUAAUAAUCAAGAAUUUGCCGCACUUCUUUCCCAGUCGGUAAGCCAAGGCUUUGAGGCUGUUUACCAAUUAACAAGAAUGUGCACCAUACGGAUGAGCUUCGUCAAAGGAUGGGGCGCAGAGUAUAGACGCCAGACGGUAACGUCUACCCCAUGUUGGAUCGAACUUCAUUUAAAUGGCCCAUUGCAGUGGCUUGAUCGAGUUCUGACGCAAAUGGGAUCGCCUCGCCUUCCGUGCAGCUCCAUGUCAUGAUGAUGAAAUAACUUUUGAAGUGCAUACCCACCUUCCGGUUCGGCAGUAAAUCCUUCGUCGAGGGUACUUCGACGCCGAAUACUAGUUUUUUCCUGAUACGCUCACUGUCCGUUCAUUAUUCCACUCGGAUGUGCAAUAGUCGAUUCAGUCAGACGAACCAAUAUAGCCCGCUCUUCUGCUGCCGUACAUUACCCACCCUAAGCAUUUACCGUUUUUCCAUAGCCCAAACUACCUCGUAAGCUGCGUUCCGCGGAGCUCGUCGUAGUCCACAAGUUCACCAAAUAACUGGAAGCCACUCAGGUCGAUCAAAUAGUCGCCUUUCCGAUCACACCCUCAAGCCACGUCGUUCACUCCCGACAAAUGAUGUGACUCCACACCCCACCUCAAAAGUUUCUGCUCGAGCAUUCACCAAAUGCUGUAUCUACUUUCGUCCGUAUAUUUCCUUUACCCAUCGAGUGACAGAAAAGCAGCAAACCGGAGAAUUCAUUGUUGUACUGUUUAAAAAUUUCUUUCUGAGCUGAGCUGUUUUCAAGCGAAAGAGAUAUCUUUUCCUUAAGUGUUGAUUCUUGUCCUAAUUCUUAGGUUCUUCCAUGUGUUACGAAUUUCGACAGAAAUGCUGGUUAAUUCGAGAUCAAUUUAGAUACUAACAGCAGUGCAUUCGACGCGUUCAUAUUAUAGAAUACCCCCAGUUUUCUGUUGCUAGCGUUUCCUUUUCUAGGACUGUUAUUCUUUAUCGAGGCAUAAAAUACCUUUAAACUUAGAACAUGCAAAAUUCAGUUGUUUCAAAACUGAUGUGUAUACAUUAAUGGGAAUAAGAAUAAAGGUAAAAAAGAGUUA
rnacentral:misc_RNA from 1 species